AUGCACAGGAUCCCGGCAGAGAUGUCGGUUCCCUUGUGGCCUGUGUGCAGGUGGUGCAUGGCUGUCGUCAGCUCGUGUCGUGAGAUGUUGGGUUAAGUCCCGCAACGAGCGCAACCCUUAUCCUAUGUUGCCAGCGGGUAAUGCCGGGGACUCGUGGGAGACUGCCGGGGUCAACUCGGAGGAAGGUGGGGAUGACGUCAAGUCAUCAUGCCCCUUAUGUCCAGGGCUUCACACAUGCUACAAUGGCUGGUACAGAGGGCUGCGAUACCGUGAGGUGGAGCGAAUCCCUUAAAGCCGGUCUCAGUUCGGAUCGUAGUCUGCAACUCGACUACGUGAAGUCGGAGUCGCUAGUAAUCGCAGAUCAGCAACGCUGCGGUGAAUACGUUCCCGGGCCUUGUACACACCGCCCGUCACGUCAUGAAAGUCGGUAACACCCGAAGCCCACGGCCU
rnacentral:rRNA from 1 species